CAUUAGAUGACUGAAAGCAAGUAAUGGUCUCUUAAACCUUUCUAUAGUAAAUUAGCGAUUACUCCUAAUGG
rnacentral:tRNA from 1 species